AUUGAACGCUGGCGGCAGGCCUAACACAUGCAAGUCGAACGGUAGCACAGAGGAGCUUGCUCCUUGGGUGACGAGUGGCGGACGGGUGAGUAAUGUCUGGGAAACUGCCCGAUGGAGGGGGAUAACUACUGGAAACGGUAGCUAAUACCGCAUAACGUCGCAAGACCAAAGAGGGGGACCUUCGGGCCUCUUGCCAUCGGAUGUGCCCAGAUGGGAUUAGCUAGUAGGUGGGGUAACGGCUCACCUAGGCGACGAUCCCUAGCUGGUCUGAGAGGAUGACCAGCCACACUGGAACUGAGACACGGUCCAGACUCCUACGGGAGGCAGCAGUGGGGAAUAUUGCACAAUGGGCGCAAGCCUGAUGCAGCCAUGCCGCGUGUAUGAAGAAGGCCUUCGGGUUAUAAAGUACUUUCAGCGAGGAGGAAGGCGUUGUGGUUAAUAACCGCAACGAUUG
rnacentral:rRNA from 1 species